rnacentral:rRNA from 1 species
AACGCGAAGAACCUUACCAAGGUUUGACAUGGACGGAAAUCCUCCAGAGAUGGGGGGUCCUUCGGGGCCGUUCACAGGUGGUGCAUGGCUGUCGUCAGCUCGUGUCGUGAGAUGUUGGGUUAAGUCCCGCAACGAGCGCAACCCUCGUCCAAUGUUGCCAGCGGGUAAUGCCGGGGACUCAUAGGAGACUGCCGGGGUCAACUCGGAGGAAGGUGGGGAUGACGUCAAGUCCUCAUGCCCCUUAUGUCUUGGGCUGCAAACAUGCUACAAUGGCCGGUACAAAGGGUUGCGAGACCGCAAGGUGGAGCGAAUCCCAAAAAGCCGGUCUCAGUUCGGAUUGGGGUCUGCAACUCGACCCCAUGAAGUCGGAGUCGCUAGUAAUCGCGAAUCAGCAACGUCGCGGUGAAUACGUUCCCGGGCCUUGUACACACCGAUAGC